CGCCGGCAUCCCUGUCCUUGCUUGUACACGCUCUGCGGUUGAAGCUGGCUGUGAAGUGGAGGGACCAGGUGUCCAGCAGUCGCUUAGAUCACCUGCCCUUGGCACUGAAGACACGUCUGUACUCGUCCGAGGGGCUAAUGUGGGAUGUGCAGAAGACAGGAGUAGGGUUAAAGUGAAAGGAGAAGCGAGAAAGGGGAGAGGAGCCCCUGUGGUCCUGAUGACUUUACAUGUUCCAUGUCUGCCUUCCAACCUCGGACAAACAGGAACUGGGAACUCGCUGCUGCCUUCCUGUCCCCUGCACCUGCCUGGAACGCCCUUCCUGCCAGCGUGGCAUUCUGUAACCCUCCUGUCCUGCCAGGCCGCACGUUUUACCUCCACGACCACAGUGUAUCCAACCAGGCAGAGAUGAGCCCUGAAGCCCGGGGGUCAGGGCCACACUGAGAGGACAGCUCAGAGGAGGCCUGUGCAGGGGAGACCUGGCGGGCGGCAGCAGCCGCGCUCCUGGGGUCUGCUCCGGCCGCCCCUCCACGUGUCACCUGAAGCGAAGCGCUCUCUCCUGGAAGAAGCCUGAGG
ensembl:lncRNA